GACGAACGCUGGCGGCGUGCUUAACACAUGCAAGUCACGGGGGCCCGCGAGGGCAACCGGCGAACGGGUGAGUAACACGUGGGCAAUCUGCCCUUCACUCUGGGACAAGCCCUGGAAACGGGGUCUAAUACCGGAUAACACUGCCAUGGGCAUCUGUGGUGGUUAAAAGCUCCGGCGGUGAAGGAUGAGCCCGCGGCCUAUCAGCUUGUUGGUGAGGUAAUGGCUCACCAAGGCGACGACGGGUAGCCGGCCUGAGAGGGCGACCGGCCACACUGGACUGAGACACGGCCCAGACUCCACGGGAGGCAGCAGGUGGGGAAUCUUGCGCAAUGGGNGAAAGCCUGACGCAGCGACGCCGCGUGA
rnacentral:rRNA from 1 species